rnacentral:tRNA from 1 species
AUUAACUUGGCAGAUUAGUGCAUCGAAUUUAGAAUUCAAAUAUGUAUACAAUACAGUUAAUA